GUCGCUAGGUUUACCAUAACCUAGACCUCGCAGAACCUCAGGGGCACUAAAGUGGCAACCAUUCAUACCGUUACCGUCUACUCGCUCUGUAAAAUACAUCAAAACAAGAGAUGAACAAAGUUACCUUUUAAUUAGCGUCCGGUCAUCGGUUAAUGUAUUACGUAUACAACCCCAGAGGUGCAAGAAGGCUAGCGUUUAAUCCCUUUGCACAUAAUACGUCUGGCCUUUCAAGGAUCACCGAGCUUCUCCUUUGAAGCCUUUCUCUGAGCCCUUCUACUGGUUUAGACCCUGCGGGCGGCUGCCAAUAUUCCUAUCCCGUUUCCAUGUGUUGACGUUUUACUGCCCCUGUUUACUGCAUCCUUCAGCACCUUGCCAUUCAACUUCCGGAAUUUAGUGGCCAUUUAUCGGAGGAUUUUCGGGUGGCUGGUUAGCAAGUGCUCCACAAUUUCGUCAACUUGUCGUCAAGAUUUCAAUCUUUUUGGUACAAGAAAACGAAAACUUAUGGAUCAGUCACCCAGUUCUUUCUGACGUUCAGUGUUUCUCCAUACUUCCCGCAAAGCGA